rnacentral:rRNA from 1 species
AUGAGAAGCUGGAUUUGCAUCAAAUCUCAGCUUCACCACUUCCAGUUCGAGAGAAUGGUGAGCUCAACCAAGGGCAAAGUGUGUGUAACCGGGGCCUCAGGCUUUCUCGCCUCUUGGCUCAUCAAAAGACUUCUUGAGUGUGGAUAUCAUGUGAUAGGGACAGUCAGAGACCCAGGGAAUCGGAAAAAAGUUGGACACCUUUGGAAAUUACCUGGUGCAAAUGAGAGGCUCCAACUUGUGAGAGCUGAUUUAUUGGAGGAAGGGAGCUUUGAUGAUGCUGUGAUGGCUUGUGAGGGUGUCUUCCACAUUGCAUCACCUGUCCUCGGGAAAUCUGACUCCAAUUGCAAGGAAGCAACACUUGGUCCUGCAAUUAAUGGCACCCUAAACGUGCUAAGGUCGUGCAAGAAGAGUCCGUUUCUAAAACGGGUUGUUCUCACAUCUUCAUCGUCUGCAGUGAGGAUUAGGGACGAAACCCAGCAGCCAGAACUGUUGUGGGAUGAAACAACGUGGAGCUGUGUGCCACUCUGCGAAAAGCUACAGCUAUGGUAUGCCCUGGCAAAGGUAUUUGCAGAGAAAGCAGCAUUGGACUUUGCCAAGGAAAAUAACAUUGACCUUGUCACUGUUCUUCCUUCAUUCGUGAUUGGGCCCAGUUUGUCCCAUGAACUGUGUACAACUGCUUCUGAUAUCCUUGGCUUACUUCAAGGUGACACGGACAGGUUCACUUCGUAUGGAAGGAUGGGAUAUGUUCACAUUGACGAUGUUGCACGGAGCCACAUUCUAGUGUACGAAACACCCGAGGCAAGGGGCAGAUAUCUGUGCAGUUCAGUGGUUCUGGAUAACAAUGAAUUGGUUGGCUUACUCACGAAGCAGUUUCCAGUAUUCCCUAUUCCAAGGAGGCUCAGUAACCCCUAUGGAAAGCAGGCGUAUCAGCUGAACACAUCCAAGCUCCAGGGGCUGGGUCUCAAGUUCAAAGGAGUGCAAGAGAUGUUCAACGACUGCGUCGAGUCGCUGAAAGCUCAGGGCCAUUUGCUGGAGUGCCCGUUGUGA